AGAGUUUGAUCAUGGCUCAGGAUGAACGCUAGCUACAGGCUUAACACAUGCAAGUCGAGGGGAAACGACAUCGAAAGCUUGCUUUUGAUGGGCGUCGACCGGCGCACGGGUGAGUAACGCGUAUCCAACCUGCCCACCACUUGGGGAUAACCUUGCGAAAGUAAGACUAAUACCCAAUGACGUCUCUAGAAGACAUCUGAAAGGGAUUAAAGAUUUAUCGGUGAUGGAUGGGGAUGCGUCUGAUUAGCUUGUUGGCGGGGUAACGGCCACCGAAAGCAACGAUCAGUAGGGGUUCUGAGAGGAAGGUCCCCCANAUUGGAACUGAGACACGGUCCAAACUCCUACGGGAGGCA
rnacentral:rRNA from 1 species